UACGGGGGGGGGCAAGCGUUGUUCGGAUUCAUUGGGCGUAAAGGGUGCGUAGGCGGCGCGGUAAGUCGGGUGUGAAAUCUCGGAGCUUAACUCCGAAACUGCAUUCGAUACUGCCGUGCUUGAGGACUGGAGAGGAGACUGGAAUUUACGGUGUAGCGGUGAAAUGCGUAGAUAUCGUAAGGAAGACCAGUGGCGAAGGCGACUACCUGGCCUGUUCUUGACGCUGAGGCGCGAAAGCUAGGGGAGCAAACGGG
rnacentral:rRNA from 1 species